rnacentral:tRNA from 1 species
GCGCCCGUAGCUCAGCUGGAUAGAGCGCUGCCCUCCGGAGGCAGAGGUCGGGGGUUCGAAUCCCUUCGGGCGUGCCA